rnacentral:lncRNA from 1 species
GCCGUCCAGGAGGGGAGGGGCGCGCGAGGGUUGCCGUCGUCCCUUUGCUUCGCCAUCGCCCUCUGCUCUGCCGGACCUACCGCCCGUAGCCAUAUUGCCAGGAUGGAGGGGGCGUGAGGACCGCCGCCGGCCCCGCUCCUCCACUCGGUGGAAGAUGUUGCCUCCGCGGAGGGGCGGGGCCGGCGAUGGUCCUCGCGCCUUCUCCUUCCUCGCACGAUGGCUGCAGGCAGCAGGUUCAACAAGGUAGAGGGCAACGUUAAAGCAAAGGGCCGGCGGCGGCUCUCACACCCCGUCCCCUCGUGGACGAUGGGCGGUAAAGGGCGACG